rnacentral:rRNA from 1 species
UACGUAGGGGGCAAGCGUUGUCCGGAUUUAUUGGGCGUAAAGCGCGUGUAGGCUGCUCGGAAAGUCGGAUGUGAAAGCCCUGGGCUCAACCUAGGAAGUGCAUUCGAAACUUCCGAGCUGGAGUGCUGGAGAGGAAGGCGGAAUUCUCGGUGUAGAGGUGAAAUUCGUAGAUAUCGAGAGGAACACCGGUGGCGAAGGCGGCCACCUGGACGGUAACUGACGCUGAGACGCGAAAGCGUGGGGAGCAAACAGG